CGCCACUGUCCUCGCAUUCCUCAUCCUCUCCGUCUGGGCGGCGAUUCCUUCAGGCGGCGGCGAUUCUGGUGACAGAAGGCGGAGAGGAGAGAGCCGCAGCAGGUGUCGUGUGGGUUUUGUGGGAACUUUUUCCAGAAUGCCGAAGCUGUUGACUUCAACGUCCAUGGGACGAGUUCCGCUCUUCAGCGGCAGCGGCGAUUGUGGGGAGCGAGAAGGGAAGUGGAGGGGACCACCAUUCAAGUAUGUGAAGUACAUGCGAUUAAGUUAUAUGUGUUUUUUUUUUCAUUUGUUAGGCUAUAUGUGUGUUCAAUAUACUCUAAUGUGGUGGUAAUUUGUGUGUGCAGAGGAUUAGGUGAAAUGUUCAGUAGUUGAUUUUUGUAGUGUUGUUUGUAGUAUUCUACAUAUAUAAG